UGGGGAAUAUUGGACAAUGGGCGAAAGCCUGAUCCAGCCAUGCCGCGUGAGUGAUGAAGGCCCUAGGGUUGUAAAGCUCUUUCACCGGUGAAGAUAAUGACGGUAACCGGAGAAGAAGCCCCGGCUAACUUCGUGCCAGCAGCCGCGGUAAUACGAAGGGGGCUAGCGUUGUUCGGAAUUACUGGGCGUAAAGCGCACGUAGGCGGAUUGUUAAGUGAGGGGUGAAAUCCCAGGGCUCAACCCUGGAACUGCCUUUCAUACUGGCAAUCUUGAGUCCGAGAGAGGUGAGUGGAAUUCCGAGUGUAGAGGUGAAAUUCGUAGAUAUUCGGAGGAACACCAGUGGCGAAGGCGGCUCACUGGCUCGGUACUGACGCUGAGGUGCGAAAGCGUGGGGAGCAAACA
rnacentral:rRNA from 1 species